rnacentral:rRNA from 1 species
GUUGAUCGCGUCGGAAGUGUAAUCUUGGGGCUUAACCCUGAGCGUGCUUUCGAUACGGGUUGACUUGAGGAAGGUAGGGGAGAAUGGAAUUCCUGGUGGAGCGGUGGAAUGCGCAGAUAUCAGGAGGAACACCAGUGGCGAAGGCGGUUCUCUGGGCCUUUCCUGACGCUGAGGAGCGAAAGCGUGGGGAGCGAACAGGCUUAGAUACCCUGGUAGUCCACGCUGUAAACGGUGGGUACUAGGUGUGGGGUCCAUUCCACGGGUUCCGUGCCGUAGCUAACGCUUUAAGUACCCCGCCUGGGGAGUACGGCCGCAAGGCUAAAACUCAAAGGAAUUGACGGGGCCCCGCACAAGCGGCGGAGCAUGCGGAUUAAUUCGAUGCAACGCGUAGAACCUUACCUGGGUUUGACAUGGAUCGGGAGUGCUCAGAGAUGGGUGUGCCUCUUUUGGGGUCGGUUCACAGGUGGUGCAUGGCUGUCGUCAGCUCGUGUCGUGAGAUGUUGGGUUAAGUCCCGCAACGAGCGCAACCCUUGUUCACUGUUGCCAGCACGUUAUGGUGGGGACUCAGUGGAGACCGCCGGGGUCAACUCGGAGGAAGGUGGGGAUGACGUCAAGUCGUCGUGCCCCUUAUGUCCAGGGCUUCACGCAUGCUACAAUGGCUGGUACAGAGAGUGGCGAGCCUGUGAGGGUGAGCGAAUCUCGGAAAGCCGGUCUCAGUUCGGAUUGGGGUCUGCAACUCGACCUCAUGAAGUCGGAGUCGCU